GUGACAAGAACAUUCUAGGGCUAGAAUCUAGGACCACUUUGGACAUUCAAAGCAAAGGAAGGAAGAGGAAGGGGAGCAUGGGGGAGAUGAAACGCAAGGAAGGCAGAGUGUACAAUGUCUAUGUAAGCACAACAAGAAAGCAACUUAACUGCCUGCAGCAUCAGACCAAGUUCCUGGAUCAUAAGUUUGAAAGCAGCUUCUAGAUGACGCUUGUGGAUAUUUGGAAUAAUAUCUACUAAUUUCUGUUAAGCAGCUAUGUUUCAACUCCACUUCAAUAAAAACAGCCAAAUUUCUCUCCUGGAAAUUCUUAAAACUCAAAGAAACUCUGAUUCUUUCAAGUGUUAGUAUGAUGACCUAAUUUUGUGCCUAACUCCUCUUAUAUAGAAAGGAACAAAUAUUUGAUAUUCAUCUUCAUUGUUUUCUGUGGGUUGGUUUCCUGUUAUUUUUUCCCUUUGUCUAGGGGAAAGGAGUAAAGAAAACUUCCUUGUUAAACUGCUACUAUAAGGAACACGUUUGAAGAAAUAAACACAGAAAGCAAGUGAGUUU
rnacentral:lncRNA from 10 species